rnacentral:lncRNA from 1 species
CAAAAUAAUAGUGGCUGGCACAUGUGCACUGUUUGCCAGGCAUUCUUCUAAGCUUAUAUAUAUAUUGGCUUGUUUAAGGAAUUCAGCUUAGCCAGACCAUAAGAAAAUUGGAAUCUGAAGUCUUCAUUUGUAUCUUCCAGGAUUGCAUGGUAUUUUAAAUUUCUGCUUCUCCUUAGUUCCUGAGAACUGGAAAAUUAGGAUGCACAGACUCCUUUUCUUUGUAUCUUUUAGGGGUUGCAUAAUAUCGCUCAUGUGUGUUACACAUUAAUUUUCCUCCUAACCCUUUCCUGUUUGCACAUGGCCAGAGAUGACCUGCCCAGAGGCGGCUUCAUAGGAGAGAUCAGCUCCUGGGAGUGGAAUCUGAGCACUUUAGCUCACUCUAUGGGUUGGUCUGAGUCAGAGGUCUUCCCUGUGUCCAGUAGACUGUGGUGACAUCUGUAUGAGUCAUGAGGUACAAUCUUUACCAGAGACCAUCCUGAAGUGAUUUCAGACUUGGAGAAUGGGCUGUCAGUCGUCCCAAAUCACAUCUAGGAACCUUGAAGAAUGGGGCCUCUGCAAGAGGAGGUGGGCUGGGUCUUCUUGGUGAGUUUUGCAGCCAACGUCUGCCAGGAUGGUGUGUGGUAAUGGUGAGCCAGGCAAGGCCGGGGUGGAGCCUCUGUCCACUGCUAGGAGGCUGCAGAUUCCUGAAGGUUCUUCCAGACGUGCCUCUAGAUCUCCCCAUCAUUCCUGUUGGAGUUGAUUUCUAACUGUUCCCUCUCUUUUCACAUCUCUCUCCUCUACACCUCAGACAGAAUUACCCUUCAUAAAUACACAUUGAUCCUAUGGAUUUACUAUUAAAACUUCAUUCAUUGAUCCCCAUGGCUUGCAGCAGCAGCGUUUACGGGGUGCCAGGUACACUGGUCAGUGUGACCCAGUUGGCGAGCUGGUAGGAGGGGGCUGUAGGUGCCACCGCUAAAGGGCAGGAAGCGCCAUCGCGGCGCCUUAUCCCUGGGCUCCAGCUCUGGGGAGUUGGAGUCACUGAGGGAAACCGAGGGAGGCUGGCCUGAGGAAUUCUCACCGUGGCGCCUCCUCUCCAGCCGCGGCCCACCUUCUGCUUCAAUUCGCCUCCUGUCAGCCUUAAUAUUCUCUCCCGGUCUAGACACCAUUUCCUGAAAGUCCCCCUCAUCCCUCCCUUGUUUAUGUUCUUUUCUGUGACCUAAAAUGCUCUUGCACACCCUCCUUCCCAGCCUGCAGAGACUCGUCUUUAUGAAUCUCAUCUUGUUUCUUGGCGCAGCUUCCCUUUUCCCAUCUGGCACGGGAAGCCGGCUGCUCCUCCUGGUUUCUCUGUAUUGGACACGUAUUGAUCACAGCGCUCAGUGUUGCUUAGUGAGGCCUCUGUUCCUCCCACCUCACCGCGGACUCCUGGAAGAAAGGGAGCCAGUGUGGACCAGUGCAGCCUGGCUGCUCUCUACCUCUCCUAUCGCUGGGAAGACCCGUUCAGCAGACCAGCCUGGAGCUGUGGCUUAGGCAAUCCUCAGAUGUGAGUCCUGCCUCAGACCCUUCCACAAAUGAUUUAAUAUCAUGAAGCCUCAGUUUCAUCAGGUAUAAAAUUAGCUUCCAGAGGCUGUCUGUAUGGCUGGCUUGUGGUCCCUGCCUCUGUCUUCAAGGUCAGCAAUGGGGAUUCUGAGGAUAAUGCAUGGACGUCUCUGAGGAGGCACUCUUCUGCCCAUCAUGCACUGUGCUGAGGGAAGCCAGAUGACAAGAUAAACAGAUACAUGAAUUGCAUGCAUUUCUGUAUAUAUGUGCAUUUGUAUACAUACAUAACUUCACAUCAAGAAAUGCAUAUUGACAGAAGCAAAGAAAAUGCUGUAAUGGAGAAUAAAAUGGAGAACAAGUCUGUUGGAAGAGGAGACAUCUGUGCUGAGAACUGAAAGAGAAUACAAUCUCUCUUCCAAUUUCUCUUCUCUAAGAAAAUAGCUUUAUGGUUUAUACUCAUAAGAUUGUUUUGAGGAUUGAAUGAUGUGAAUGAUGUAAAUGAUGUAACAAUUUUUACAGAACAUCUAGUAGUAUCACUGAUGAUUCCCCAAUGCUUACAAUAGUUUCUUCACAGCGGUGGCUGCAGAACAGCGGUGGCUGUAGAACAGCGGAUUUUGGUGACCCGCAAAUGCUGCUGCCUGAUCAUUCCUCUGGAAGUUUUGUCUCAGAGGAGUACCCAGCCGUG